AUUGAACGCUGGCGGCAGGCCUAACACAUGCAAGUCGAACGGUAACAGGAAGCAGCUUGCUGCUUUGCUGACGAGUGGCGGACGGGUGAGUAAUGUCUGGGAAACUGCCUGAUGGAGGGGGAUAACUACUGGAAACGGUAGCUAAUACCGCAUAACGUCGCAAGACCAAAGAGGGGGACCUUCGGGCCUCUUGCCAUCGGAUGUGCCCAGAUGGGAUUAGCUAGUAGGUGGGGUAACGGCUCACCUAGGCGACGAUCCCUAGCUGGUCUGAGAGGAUGACCAGCCACACUGGAACUGAGACACGGUCCAGACUCCUACGGGAGGCAGCAGUGGGGAAUAUUGCACAAUGGGCGCAAGCCUGAUGCAGCCAUGCCGCGUGUAUGAAGAAGGCCUUCGGGUUGUAAAGUACUUUCAGCGGGGAGGAAGGGAGUAAAGUUAAUACCUCUGCUCAUUGACGUUACCCGCAGAAGAAGCACCGGCUAACUCCGUG
rnacentral:rRNA from 1 species